CCAUACCCCAGUUCCACAAGCCACGUGGCUCAAAACAACAGAAAGGUAUCGUCUCACAGUCGUGGAGCCUAGAAGUUUGACGUGAACGUCUGAGCUCUCUCUGAAGGCCCGGGGGAACGAACCCUUCCUUGCCUCUUCCGGCUUCUGACAGUUGCCAACUAUCCUCGGCAUUCCUUGGCUCUUAGAUGCAUCACUUCUGUCUCCGCCUCUGUUGUCACAUGCUGUUUUCCCUGUGUGUCUCUCUCUGUCCCUUCUCGUCUUCUUAUAAGGGUACCCAUCAUAUUGGAUUAAGGGCCCACCCCACUCCAGUGUGAAUUCAUCUUAAUUUAAUUAGUUACAGCUUCAGUGACCCUUCCAAAUAAGAUCACAUCUUGAGGUUCCAGGGGGAACACGAAUUCGAGGCGAGGGAAAGACUAACCCAGUACAGGUGUUUCCAGAGGCUGGAGCCAGGAGCUGAUGGUUCUUUCACACUGUGUAAUGUCUUCUCUGGAAAGGCCUCCUCAUCCAUCGUGCAAAGAACCCGCCCUAGAGCCACCCCAGGAACUAUAGAAAUAGAAUCCUUUGCUAGAACAAUGAUGCCCUACGAGAAGAAAGAAACAGGGACCCUGGAAGCAUGGGUCGGACUUACGGGCGUUACAGAAAGUUCCAUCUCAGAGAAAUACACGGACCUGCCAGCUCAAAGACGUUUUAGAGGUCCAGAGGAAGAAUUGUGGAAUUUGGGGAGUUUCUUUUUUCAGAAUAAAAGGGCAAGUUGCUAAGUCUUGAGCCUCCCCCUGGUCCCCACCCCCCCCCAACACACACACAGAGUAAGAAAAAGCCACAAUGUUUGGUGGCUCUCUUGGAAUUUUGGACGCAACUUGUAUCAUGGUUGGGAGAUUUGCUCUCACUCAUCAGCAAAGAAAGGUCUAAGGCUGCUGGGGCCCUGUGCAAGAGAAAGUUCUCCAGCAGGUCCAAGAUGUAUUGCCAAGGACUCCGCCAAUUGGGUCUUCUAACCUAGCAAUCCAGGCAUUCUCAAGAGGGGUGAACACACUACAAUUCCCUUGUCUGUUCUCCUAUUGGUGGGCAUUCAGGUGGUUCCCAAUUAGAGACCAUUUCAAAUGGUGCUGCUGUGAAUAUCCUUGUUCAUGCCUUUUGGUAUGCACUUGUUGCUCGUAUGCUUUUGGGUGGAAUUGUUAAGUUGUAGUGCAGGCAAAAGUUCAGCUGAGGGGCUGGCCCCGUGGCCGAGUGGUUAAGUUUGCACACUCUGCUGCAGGCAGCUCAGUGUUUCGUUGGUUCGAAUCCUGGGUGCGGACAUGGCACUGCUCAUCAAACCACGCUGAGGCAGCGUCCCACAUGCCACAACUAGAAGGACCCACAACGAAAGAAUAUACAACUAUGUACUGGGGGGCUUUGGGGAGAAAAAG
rnacentral:lncRNA from 1 species